UCUGACAUUUCACCUUUACAGCAAACCAGUAAUUUUCUACUUAAUUAGAUGGAUAUAAAUAUUUAUCUUCUUUUAAAAUAUUAUUUAUUUAAUGUAUAUGAGCACACUGUAGCUGUCUUCAGACACACUAGAAGAGAGCACCAGAUCCCAUUACAGAUGGUUGUGAGCCACCAUGUGGUGCUGGAAAUUGAACUCAGGACUUCUGGAAGAGCAGUCAGUGCACUGAGCCAUAUUUCCAGCCCAUAUAGCUUAGUGAAGUGAAAACAGAAGGAAAUCCUCCACAUGUCCUCACCUCAGCUAUCUGAUUCUAUCCAGCACCCCGAAGCCUUUCUCCUAACCGGACUAGCUCUCGUCAGGAGGCAGCUUACUAAUACAGUUUGUCCCAGGGGACAUCUACCUGCAUUCCCCUUUCUAAGAAACUUACCACAGAACUUUUGCCAAUUUUCCACCUGAGAGAAAUUUUAUUAUGUAAAAUUUUCCCUUUUAUGAUGCUUAAGCGUAUGUUUUAGUGCCUACUGCAUCAACCACCUGAAGCCCCAAUGGUAACAUCCCUGCAUCCUUCACCCGACUUUCUCGACUCUCCCAUAUUCUGAAGACACCUUCUUUGCUAGUCCAAUUUCUAAUGCUCCCCAGUUACCUACUCUUUUCUAAAAUGAAAGUCAACAUUUCCACUGAGAAAAAAAAACAAAACAAAGCAAAACACACCCACUGCAGCCCGACUUGUUUUCAGGGCUGAAAGAAAAGGUAUGGAUUUCGAGGAAGUUCCAUUAACCUGUGCUUACCUCGGGUGUGUCCAUUGGAAGUCCUCCAAGAAGGAGACAUCAACUGUAAUAUGUUAGGCAAUGAGUCUCCAAACUGAUCUUUCCUAGCCCCUCUCCUUUCACGGCUUUUGGGUUUGGGCAAGUCUCCUACACUUUUUAAUGAAUAUGUAUUGAUAUUUAUGCUCCCCAACUAUCUGAUACAACCUUUUACUGCCUUUUAUGUCUACUUUCCGUCUUAAGAAACGCAGUCAAAACUGAAACGAUGGCUGGGCUUUAGAUGUCCUUUCUGCUGGUUCUCCAUCCUUGUUCCUCCCCCUGAAGCUUCAUUAUUUUACUGCCCUAGAACCUUAGCGUUGGACCGUUCUUCACUCACUCCCAAAAGAAACUUGAAGAGUUCACUCAUUACUUCCAAACAAGUAUGGUUAAAUUCACAUUUUUGUUCCUUAAUUCUCAUCUUUAAACAUAUUAAAGUCUGAUUUUUUUUGCCAUAAAAAGAACAAAAUGAAUAAAUAAGUGAUACAUAAAUAAACAAACCCCAAAUAAAUAGUAAAUAAACAAACCACCUUGGUCACUCGUCACUGGUAUGAGAGAGAAAUCUGAUCUUUAGUUACAGGGAUUACUUCCAUUGUGUCAUUCAACUGCCUACAGACAGUGUAGAAGCUUAGUAUUCGGAUACUUCUAAGCUGACUAGUUUAGCCAUAUAUGGCUCCUGCAUUUCCAUUGUCCCACAUAUAUCUUAAUGAAACAUCAUGGAGACUUCUUUAAACCAGGUACUGUGUAGUAAGUUUCAGGUAUACUAUCAUCUAAUUCUUUAGACAUAGCACACAGUAAAUACAGUUUCUUAAAAUUGUUUUAGCUUUUUGAGCUUUUAGAUCUUUAUUUAUAUUUAUUAUUUGUGUGUGAGUGUGUGUGUGUGUGUAAGAGAGAGAGAGAGAGAGAGAGAGAGAGUGUGUGUGUGUGUGUGUGUGUGUGUGUGUGUGUGGGUCAUGUAAAGGUCAAGAAACAACUUUUGGAAGUCAGUUCUCUUCUUCUGAAUUCUGGAUUCUGAGGGUGGAACUCCAGUCAUCAGGUUUGCACAUGCAUCUUUGUACAGUAAAACAUCUCAGUGACCUCAGAUACACAGUAUUAUGUCUUUGUGUCCAUGAGGAAAUGAAAUCCUACUAACAUUAUUUGAUUUGAGGAAAAACACCUAGUAUGUAGCAGAGCCAGGAUUAAUUGGACUGUAGGUCAAGGCAUUUCUUGUCACUCAGCAGUUCGUUUUCUUAAACAAUACGUGUUUUGGGAUCAAGAAUAGGCUUCUUGAGUGUGUGCUCACUCUUUUUAAUUUUUUAAAAAUGUAUGCAUACCAGGUAUGUACAACUGUGCACUCUCAUGUAGAGGCAAACACUGGGGUUGCUGUAUCUCUUGCUGUCUUGGCUCAGUGUCCAUUAGAGAUGAUCACGUGUCAUCUGAAGGCUAGUCAUUCGCACUCUUUGCAUCAUGCUCUUGCCUGGUACUAUUUGUCACAAAAUUUAGUCAACUAAUCCAGGACUUUUAUUCCCCUAAUGGUAACUAUUUGAAUUUAGGAUGUCAUGCGAAUGCAGGAACUUAUAAAUUACUAUUCAGGCUGGGGAGACAGAUCAAUCAGAAAAUUAAGAUUGGAGUAUAAACUCUAUCGCUC
rnacentral:lncRNA from 1 species